rnacentral:rRNA from 1 species
UACGAAGGGGGCUAGCGUUGCUCGGAAUCACUGGGCGUAAAGCGCACGUAGGCGGCUUCUUAAGUCAGGGGUGAAAUCCUGGAGCUCAACUCCAGAACUGCCUUUGAUACUGAGAGGCUUGAGUCCGGGAGAGGUGAGUGGAACUGCGAGUGUAGAGGUGAAAUGCAUUGAGAUCGGAAAGAACACCAACGGCGAAAGCACUCUGCUGGGCCGACACUGACACUGAGAGACGAAAGCUAGGGGAGCAAAUGGG